rnacentral:rRNA from 1 species
UGAGCCGGCCACACCACCCUGAACGUGCCCGAUCUCGUCCGAUCUCGGAAGCUAAGCAGGGUCAGACCUGGUUAGUACUUGGAAGGGAACCUCUUUUAAAAAUUUUUUUUUCCUCUUUAU